GACGUUUUGGCCGAGUGGUUAAGGCGGUAAGCAGACCCUGGCGACUAUGAGAACUUCUUAAUCUAACAAACUGGCAAGACACCCUGCUAUUCCCAGUCAAGGUGUUCUCUUCGGAGGCACAGGUUCGAAUCCUGUAGACGUCG
rnacentral:tRNA from 1 species